rnacentral:lncRNA from 1 species
AAUAAAAAAAAAAAUUAACAGGAUUCAAAUAACACAUAUAUUUAUAUAGAGCUAGGUUGGUAUACUAUCGGUAGCACGGAGACCAAGUUGCUUUCAAUGAUGCGGCUUCCAAAUCGAUGAUCGGCUCCGUUAGACUUGAUCUACACUAUUGAAAGUAUUUGAAAACUAAAUUUCAUAAUUUUUCGACAUCAUUUACCUAUCAAACGAGUGGUCUAAAAAUGAACAGCUAAAAAUAAAAAUCUAAUAAAAAAUGAUGAUAAAAAACUUGAAUUUAAGAUUAGAGAUAUUGAUCUUACUCUAAAUAGNCCUCGACCUGGGACCGGUCUCUCAGCCUGCCCACGAAAAUCCAACGUUCGGGAACCGGUCUCUCCCUGCGCGGGACCGAUCUCUCCCCGCGCAGACGCGCUCGGGGACCGGUCUCAAAUGCCAGGGACCGGUUGCCUCGCCUGCUGCGCAGCACUGUUCACUGGAGGACCGGUCUCUCCUAUCAGGGACCGGUCCCCGAGAGUAAAAACUCUCAGGACUCUGCCAAAGCUCUCGAGUUCGAACUUUUAGGCCGGUAUACCAUCGACGGCCCUCCACCAAGUGUGGAAAAGUUCGGAAUACACAUCGAACACUCGAACCUCGCAAUUUGCAAAGGUCCAGUGUGCUACAAAUUAUCAUUUACGUAAAGAGGUAUAGUUGAGCAAAAUUAGCAAUCAAAUUAUCGUUUAUAAUUUCCGGUUAAAACUCGGUGCAUCCUGCUAAUUAAUUGAUACUUAAUCACUUAAGUACUCUUUUUUUUUCUAUUACUUGUUGUAGUCGCCAUUUCUCGAGCUGCAAUUGUUUGCAUAUUUUAGACUGCAUCACUUUACUCUCAAUGACUACGGUGGCAAUAUACAGAUCCAAUCAACCAACUCCCUCAUAUCACCCAAUUUACAACAAAAAAGGUAAAAUUCACCAAGAAAAAACUUAAGCAUAAUCACUACCAAUAGAGGAUUGGAAUCCCAAUCUUGAAGCCUCAGCGACAAAUCAAAUACAAAUCAUAAUAGAAAAUCUAAUACCGAAGAUCCGAGUUCGGAAACCUCAAUUGACUGAAACAUCAUAACAUAGAUCUAAAUAAACAAAGAUCUAGAGAGAGAAAGGAAUGGGCAAGGACGAAUUACCUUGGAGUUUGGAGAAGAACUUGGUAGCUGAGGGCUUCGGAGAGUCGCAACAUCCAUUGAAACCUCAAAAGCAAAUUCAAAUAAAAUACUACUAAAAUUUAAAAUAUUAUUGGCUUAAAAAUCCUAGAUAGAUUGCUACGUUGUCAGGCCAAACCAAACUAAAAUAUUAGUUACUUCUUGAUACUUAAAGAAAAAUUGUAAGUACUUCAAAAAUGCACAGGUACAAAAUAGACAAAAAAAAAGUUAUGUCUGAAUUGAAGAAAUUCCCUAUGAUACAUCUGAAGUCAUGACCUAAUAAUGUAUUUAACUUAAGAGAGAUGACUUACAUGUUUUGGUAUGUCCAGGAGUAACUAUCACUUUUGAAACUAUCGAAGGUGCUGUACAAUCUAGAAAAAAUCGUUCACCUACACUUCAAAUAUCAUUACAGAAAAUAAUAAGUAUGAAACUUCAUAGAAUUGAUCAAGUAAGUGGCCUUACAGCAAGAGGAACUACAAAUGUUCUUUUUUUACCUUUUCAAGUCUCUAAGAAAAGAUCACUAUGGUAAAAAUUUGCAAUAAUUAGAAAUUAAGUGCUAACUGGGUGAAUUCUGCCAUAAAUAAUUGUUUAGUCAGUCGCACUUGUGAAAUAAAAUAAAUACUAAGUCAGAUUCAAAGAGUACAAAGGCAGUAGAGAGCCUAGCGUUUUAACAAAGUAGCGACAAUCUGCAUCUACAUCAGCUUCGUAUCUCAUCCAAGCAAAUUUUAAUAAAAAGAGAGAUAUCGCAUCACCCCUCAAUCACAGAUAAACUAAUUUGCCAUUAAGAACUAGAUACACAAAUCCACCGUCCCAGAUUGUCCUUUUCUUGUCCGAAAAUCUAAUUUUCACCUCAGAAAACAGCAAUAAAAAAUAAAUUUUGAAUCAAAUCAAUACAGACAAAAGAAUCUAAUGGAUCAAAACGUGGGCUAUGAUUUGGGAAUCAUCCUUGCAAGAGACGAUGAUGGUGUUCUUGGCUCGGAGGAUUUCUUCAAAGGAGACCGCAGUUCCCAUAGAGGAUGGAGCCGUUGUUGAGUGUGGCAAGGUGAGGAAGGGGAUGGGAGAGAAGAGAGGGGAGGGGAGAGGAGGAAUGCGGCUGUGUGGCAAGGCGAAUGGGCAUACUUGAGAGAGGGAAAUGGGAGGCGGACUGGUGAACAAAGCAAAAAAAUAAAAAAAAACCCUAAGAGAGAGAAGAAGGUGGUAGAAGAACGGACGCACAGGAGGGAGAACGGCGCAUAAAGGAUGAGAGAAGAAACUCUGCAACGGAUGGGGGAGAAGGAAUGACACGGAGGGGAUGGGAGAAAAAAUGUAGGACUAGUUCCAACAGUCCGUACAAAAACCAGAAAAAAGAGAGGCGGUUUGGUUUGGUUCGGUUCGGUUCAGAGGUUUGAAGAUAUAGUGAGCGGUUCGAUUCCGAGGUUGAGAGAGAGAUAGUUCAGUUUGGAUUAGAGAUUCAUAAAUGUAGUGAAGGAUUCGGUUUAGAUGUUAGAAGUAGGGCUGGCAAACGAGCGAGCCGGCUCGCGUUCGACUCGUGUUCGGCUCGAUAUUCGGCUCGCUCGAGCUCGACUCGAAAUUAAAUGAGCCGAGCUUGAACAAAAUAAAAGGCUCGAAAUUCAUUUCAAGCCGAGCUUGAGUAUUNAUAUAGAGUUCGGCGGGAUACUAUCGAUAGCAUUUGGUGCUAUCGAGUUUUCCACCGUUAGAUUUAACCAUUUGAUUAUUUUUACCCAUUAAAUUAUACUAUUCAACCAACCACUCACUCAAUCCUAGGGGGCCCGCAUCAUCCUAACCACCCAUUUCUCAAUCCAAGGGCUAAAAAAUCAAUAGCAUCGAUAGCACCAAGAAUUUGGUGCUAUCGAGUUUUCCACCGUUAGAUUUAACCAUUUGAUUAUUUUUACCCGUUAGAUUAUACUAUUCAACCAACCACUCACUCAAUCCUAUGGGGCCCACAUCAUCUAAUCACCCAUUUCUCAAUCCAAUGGCUAAAAAAUCAAUAGCACCAAUAGCUUGCAGCGGUUCUAUAAAAGUAAAUCAAUAUAUAUAUAACAAAUUAAUCAAAAUGAUAUCAGAAUUAGCUUUCAUUCGUUAGAAUACGCAAAAAAAAAUCGGGAAGUACUUACAAUGCAUAAAAUGAUAGUGGAAAGCCCUACUCUAUAUUUCGUUAAAUGGGUCUAAAGAUACAUUUAUUAUAGCAAUGAGAGAAUAACAUGAUCUACAAAUACAAAGAGAUUUAGAAUUAACUUCCUAAUUCCUAUACAUUAUAAUUUACAAACUCUCUUUCACGGGUAAAUCCUAUGACUUUAAUGCCCCUUCUUCGAAUGUCUAUAAGGCUUUCAUCAGUUGCCUUAUAUCGUCAGAAAUCUUUUUCUCAAUGUAUUAUAACUCUUAACGCACUAAAAUCCAACAAAAUAAAAAAAAAAAGAACAAAAUUAGAAUAGAUAGAAAUUCAGGUUUGAAAUAAUUUAAAUUUUAAAUGAAAAAUAUAAAUUACUUAAGAAUAGAAUAAUCACAAAUGCACUUGUCCUUAUGAUGUUAUGAGAAGAAAUAUAUCUAAUUCACUCAAUAGUUGAUAGAGCAAAAAUCUGCAAUGGGAAAUAACGAAGCAAGAACAACAGAACAGUAAGCAAAAAUAAGUAGAAAAAAGAUUCACUGAAUAGGAGCUCGGAUGGCUAGAUUUUUAUCAAUAUUUUUGCACUAAAUACACCAUUUUUUCUUCUUGCAAAUCAAUAAUUUGUGAACAAUUAAUAGAAGCAAGAGUUGCCCAUCAUUGCUUAUUUCUUUAUACACACUUAUUAAUUUCAAAUUAUUAUUCCUGUGAACCUUCACCCUUACUUUUGGUGAAUAAGACCCACAUUUAAUGUAAAUAGACUAUUGAACUCUAUAUGUAACAUGAAAGCAUAGUAUUAAGUAUAAUCAACAUAAGCAAAAACUUUAAGAGAAAUAUUUAUACCAUCCUUUCUUUUUUAAUUGGUAAAAAAAUAUAUGAAACUUACCUAAACUAUGAACUAUUUUAAGUUAGCGAUGUAAUCUUUGCAAAUUUUGAUUUUACUAUCUAACCUCUCAAUUUAUUUGAUUUGAAUCAGUCAAUGACAUUUUGACUUUAAAAUUUGGAUGUCUCGUUUGUCUUUACAUAUUUAGUUUGUAUAUUUUAUACGAUUCUCAAAGCUAUGAAUUUAAUUAAAGUAAUUAGCUUAUAUUUUGGAGUCAAACUAUCUCCGACUGACUUAAAGCAAACAGAUUGAAAGGUUAAAUAAUAAAAUUAUAAUUUUGAAAGAUUAGGUAGCCUAUUCAAAAUGGUAUGUACAGUUAUACCUUUCUUUUCAAAGAGGUAGCCUCAAUACCGUAGUAGGAAGUAUGAAUUUCUAGAAAUUUGUAUUGCUAUGUUGGCAAGGAAAAAUAAAAAGAAAACAUAGAAUAGAAUUCAAAAUAGAAGGAGAAAAGGACUAUCAACAUCUCCCAAAAUCACAUGAAAAUUCCAAACACCAAAAAUAAAAUAUGCAUAAUUGCUUAUCAUAUGACAUUUAUAUAUAUAAAAAUAAUCAUAUAUUUUGAGGAACUAAAAAGUGUUCAAGUCAUGUAAUCUUCUCAUUGCUGAAUUUUGGAACCUACAAAAUGUUCUGCAUUUUUGUUAUUUCAUCUCCUAAAUUUGGCAACUCACAUUGCUGUUAUACAGUGAUCUGUCAUUCAACAACCUAUCUGGUAAAAUCCCUGGAGAAUUGGGGUAGUUGCAGGAUAGAACAUUGGAACUUUGUAAGUCCCAUUUUCUAUAUAUUUCUUAUUUUGUCGUAAAAGAGACUUUUCUUCUAUGAAUUAUUUUAACAAACUUGUCAUAAAUAUGUAGGAUCCUGAAUAACAAAGACUUGUAUGGAGAUGUACCUGCUUAGUUAACCAAUUGCUUUAGCUUAACUUUAUUGUAAACUUUUUCCUAUUUUAGCAUCAUUUUAAAAAAUAUUUACAUCGACUUUAAAAUUACAUUAUUGUCCAUCUGGUUUUAAUUUCAGGAACCUCUCUUACAACAACUUUUCUAGACAUGUCCCAUUGUCAAAAAACUUUUCAAAGUUUUCAACAGAAAGGUAUUAAAGACACUAAAUUUUAUUUCUUUCCUUAUUUUUAUCAAGAUUGAUCUUAUUAUUAUUAUUAUUAUUAUUAUUAUUUGAUGCAUGUUUUCAGCUUCGUGGGCAAUCCAAUACUCUUUGGUUGCUUUUCGCUAGUUGAGCAAAAUUAGCAAUCAAAUUAUGUCACGCCCCGGGACCCAGCGGAAGCCUGCCCGGCACGUGCCCAGACCCGCCAUACGUCUAAAACGUAUAAGGCGUCUUAAACAACAAUAAUGAAAGCAAUAAUAAAAGACAUCUAGGAGUAUCAGAGCAUAAUAAAUAUCUAAAUGCUACAACCAAGGAUAAGGAUAAACUGUAAAUCCACUAUGUAAUAUACCGAAAAUUCGGAAAAUAAAAAUGUCGAACUUUAGUCAAAUUGACCAAAGUGCGAGGAUGGAACACUUCGGAAAGUCCGAAGGUGUUAAAAUGAUUAAAAGUGAGUUGUGGAAGGUUUUCGAGAGCUAAAGAAUUGAAUNAAUUUCAAUCGGCUCGUUUAGAGCUCGAGCUCGGCUCGACUCGAAAUUAGGCUCGCUCGAGCUCGGCUCGAAUUAAUUUCAAGCCGAGCUUGAGCCUAGAUUUAGGCUCGAAAUUAAUUUCAAGCCGAAUUUGAGCUGACAUAAGCUUGCUCGAGCUCGGCUCGUUUCCACCCCUAGUUAGAAGUGGUUCGGUUCGAUUUAGAGGUUCAGAGACGCAGUGAAGAGUUCGGUUUAGAUAUUAAAAAAGCGGUUCAAUUUAGAGAAGAGGCAAGUGAAAGUGGUGAAUGGAGCGGUUCAGUUCAAAAGAAACGAUUCGAUUUAAAAGAGGAGCAUGUGAGGGUGAAGGAAGGCUUGCCACGUGGCAAAAAUAUUGGGGAUUCAUAUUAGUUUAUAGAUAUAUAUGCCAAUUUGCAUAAAAAAUCUACAACUUUUGAGCUUUUGCAAAACUGGGCCCACUUUUUUGAUUUUGCAGAUUCGAUCUGAAUUUUCAGCAAACUGACCAAAAUACCCUUAUUUCCUUUUCUCUCUUCUCUUUUUUUUUCUCUUGUUUAUUUUUUUUCUCUUCGAAGAAGGCAGCGAAGGCAGAGGCGGAGGAGGAAACGGCUCGCCUCGCCUCUCACCCUUAUGCCCUCGCCCUCGUCGGCGCAUCCCGCCGCUUUCCUCGCCUCCGACCUCGUCGAGGCCGUCGUGACUCUUUUUUUUUUUCCUUCUCCAACCCUCCUCCGUCGUCUCUGAUAAUGACGCCUCUCUCGCCUCUCUCGCCCUUCCCCGCCCUUUCCCUCUCCCUCUCCCUCUCCCUUCUCCUCCGCCUCCUCUGCUGCCUUCGGCGACGACGCCUCUCCACCGAGGAGCGAGGGGUCCUUAGUGGCGUUGUCUCCGACGCCAUAGCUAUUGGCGGAGAGGGAUGACCAAAAAGAAAAUUGUAGAAAAAGAAAGAAGAAAAAAUUAAAGACCAAAAAUUAUAAAAGAAUGAAAAUGAAGAUAAAAUUGUACUGUUAAAAUAAAAUUAUACUGUUUAAAAAAAAUUUCGUUGUUUUAAAUGAAAGUUGCACUCUUUGAGAUAGAAAUUACACUCUUUGAAAUCAGAUUUACACUCUUUAGGAUAAAGUUGCACUCUUUAGGUGAAAUUUAUACUAUUUUUCUUUUCUUUCUUCUUCCUUCAAUUUACACCAUUUUUCUUUUCUUGCUCUUCUUCCUCCUCCUCCUUCUCCUCCACUUUUCCCCUCCAUCGCUGAACGUCGCGUGGUUGCGGCAGAUGCGCACCGCCAGGAUCGCCCCCGAGGCCGCGCCGCAACUUUUUUUUUUUCCCUCUCCGACUCUCCUCCACCGUCCAACAACGACGCUUAUCUCGUCAUCUCUCGCCCUUCCCCGCCCUUCUCGGCCUCUCCCUCUCCCUCUUCGUCCUCCUCCGCCUCCUCCAUCGCCUCCGACGACGACGCUUCUCUGCCGACGACGACUCCACGGAGGUCGCUACGGCGCCACAGCCUCAAAGCGAGGGUCCUUAGCAGCGUCGUCGCCGGCACCGCGGCCGUUGGUGAAGAAGUGUGAUAAAAAAAAAUUGUAGAAGAAGGAAGAAGAAAAAAUUAAAGACAAAAAAUUAUAAAAGAAGAAAGAUGAAGAAAAAAUUGCACUGUUAAAAUAAAAUUACACAGUUUAAAAAAAAAUUUGCAUUGUUUUAAAUGAAAGUUGUACUCUUUGAGACAGAUUACACUCUUUGAGACAAAGUUGCACUUUUUAGAUAAAAUUUACACCAUUUUUUUUCCUUCUUUGUCCUCUAAUUUACACCAAUUUUCUUUCUCUUUCUCUUCUUCCUCCUUCUCCUUUCCCUCUACUUUUCCUCUCCGUCGCUGAACGUGGCGUGGUCGCGGUGGAUGCACAUCGCGUGGUUCGCCCCGAAGGCCGCGCCGCGACUCUUUUUUUUUCCCCUCUCCUACCCUCCUCCAGCUCUCCGACGAUGACGGCUCUCUCGCCGUCUCUAGCCUUUCCCUGCCCUUCUCGCCAUCUCCCUUUCCUUCUUCCUUUGCCUCCGACGACGAUGCCUCUUCACCGACGCCGACGCAACGGAGGUCGCUGCGACGCCGCAGCCUCGGAGCGAGGGGUGCUUAGCAGCCUUUGGUGGAGAGGCGUGACCAAAAAAAUUAUAAUAGAAGGAAGAAGAAAAAAAUAAAGACCAAAAUUUAUAGAAGAAGGGAGAUGAAGAUGAAAUUGCAUUGUUAAAAUAAAAUCACACUAACGACGAAAAACUUGAUAGCACCAAACGCUUUGUGCUAUUGAUAGUAUAUCCCAGCCGGACUCUAUAUAUAUAUAUACACAGAAAGAGAGAGAGAGAGAGAUUAAAGAACCAAGUCAUUGGUGCUUCUAAGUUUUCAGCCUUAGAUGAAGAUGUCGGGUUAGGAUAAUUUCUAGGGGACCACUAUUAUCCUAAACCUACAAAAUCUUCAUUCAAAGACCGAAAACCGACAAGCACUAAUGACCCGGUGUUUUUAAAAGCAUAAAAGCUCCAUAUAUAUAUAUAUAUAUAUAUAUAUAGAGAGAGAGAGAGAGAGAGAGAGAGAGAGAGAGAGAGAGAGAGAGUCCUGCUGGAAUACUAUCGAUAGUACCAAGGAUUUGGUGCUAUCAAGUUUUCCACCGUUAAAUUUAAUCCUUUGAUUAUUUUUACCUAUUGGAUUAUACUAUUCAACAAACCACUCACUCAACCCUAGGGGGCCCACAUCAUCUUAACUACAUAUUUCUCAAUCCAAGAGCUAAAAAACUAAUAGCACAAAUAGCUUGGUGCUAUUGAUAGUAUUCCAGCAUAUAUAUAUAUAUAUAUAUAUAAGGAGCUAGGCUACUAUACUAUCUAUAGUACCGAGCUCCGGCACUAUAGUGUUGGUUUUCGAUCUUAGGACGUUCAAAUCAACGAUCCACACCGUUAAAAUAGAUCUAGGGUAUUUAAAGUUUCUAGAUAUAAAAUUUUAUAUUUUUUCGACAUAGUUUAUUUUAUGAUCAAACUAUUACAAAAUUGUCAAUUUUUAAUGGCUAUUAUGACGAGUUUGGAGUUUAACGGUGUAGAAGAAUUUAAAUUUCUUCAAAUUUUGAUAGAAAAUACUUUAAACUAUAUAGAUUAAGGUUAA